GAGAAGGUGGCUCAGUGGUAGAGCACGUGCCUUCCAUGCCUGAGGCCCUGGGUUCGAUUCCUCAGCAUCA
rfam:Dipodomys ordii contig_87526, whole genome shotgun sequence.